UACGAAGGGGGCUAGCGUUGUUCGGAAUUACUGGGCGUAAAGCGCGCGUAGGCGGUUUUGCAAGCCAGAGGUGAAAUGCCUGAGCUCAACUCAGGAAUGGCCUUUGGGACUGCGAGGCUUUGAGGACUGGAGAGGUGAGUGGAAUUCCCAGUGUAGAGGUGAAAUUCGUAGAUAUUGGGAAGAACACCGGUGGCGAAGGCGGCCAACUGGGCCGUCACUGACGCUGAGGCGCGAAAGCUCGGGGAGCGAACGGG
rnacentral:rRNA from 1 species